UACGUAGGGUGCGAGCGUUGUCCGGAAUUAUUGGGCGUAAAGAGCUUGUAGGGGGUUUGUCGCGUCUGCUGUGAAAAUCCGAGGCUCAACCUCGGACUUGCAGUGGGUACGGGCAGACUAGAGUGUGGUAGGGGAGACUGGAAUUCCUGGUGUAGCGGUGAAAUGCGCAGAUAUCAGGAGGAACACCGAUGGCGAAGGCAGGUCUCUGGGCCACUACUGACGCUGAGAAGCGAAAGCAUGGGGAGCGAACAGG
rnacentral:rRNA from 1 species